rnacentral:rRNA from 1 species
UUGAGAGUUUGAUCCUGGCUCAGGAUGAACGCUAGCGGCGUGCCUUAAGCAUGCAAGUCGAACGAAUGUGCUUCGCACAUAGUUAAUUAGAAGUUUAGUUACUUUGUUACUUAGUCAGCUGUAUUUAUUUUUAAGUAACCAACUAACCAACUAACUAAAUAACUGCGUGCGGAGCACGUGAGUGGCGGACGGGUGAGUAAUGGUAAGGAAUCUACCCUGAAGUGGAGGAUAGCUCGUCGAAAGACGGGGUAAACCUGCAUAUUCUCGUAAGAGCAAAGGGCGUAACUGCCUGCUUCGGGAGGAGCCUUACUCCUAUCAGCUUGUUGGUAGGGUAAGAGCCUACCAAGGCUAUGACGGGUAGCUGGUGUGAGAGCACGACCAGCCACAAUGGCACUGAGACACGGGCCAUACACCUACGGGUGGCAGCAACUGGGAAUAGUCGGCAAUGGACGAAAGUCUGACCGCGCGACGCCGCGUGAGGGAUGAAGCCUUUCGGGGUGUAAACCUCUUUUAUAUAGAUACUCAAGUCUAUUUGAAUAAGCGCCUACUAACUACGUGCCAGCAGUCGCGGUAAUACGUAGGGCGCAAGCGUUAUCCGAAUUUACUGGGCGUAAAGGGUCGCGUAGGCGAUCCAUCACAUCUCACUUCAAAUGGUUCGGCUUAACCGGAUCUCGGGUGAGAGAUGGAUGGACUAGAGGAUCGUUGGGGCUUCUGGAACUUCCGGUGUAGCAGUGAAAUGCGUUGAUAUCGGAAGGAACACCAAGAGCGAAGGCAAGAAGCUAAACGAUUUCUGACGCUGAGGCACGAAAGCUAGGGUAGCGAAGCAGAUUAGAGACCUGCGUAGUCCUAGCUGUAAACGAAUGGGUGCUAGUUACCCCUUAAACUUAUACACAAAAAAGAAUCAUUUUCCCAAAGCGCAGAAAAAGUGCGCUUUGUGUAUAAAUCUAAGGGGUGACGUAAGCUAACGCGUUAAGCACCCCGCCUGGGGAGUACGGCCGCAAGGUUGAAACUCAAAGGAAUUGGCGGGGACCCGCACAACCGGUGGAGCAUGUGGUUUAAUUCGAGACGAAGCGAAAGACCUCACCACGGUUUGACAUGCUAUCGUUUAUUCUGCUAGAAACAGCGGAAGAUCCGUAAGGAUGAUAGCAAAGCUGCUGCAUGGCUGUCGUCAGCUCGUACCGUGAGGUGUUCCCUUAAGUGGGGUAACGAGCGCAACCCUCACCGUUUGUUAAAUAUUCAAACGGAACUGCCCCGCCUUUGGCGGGGAGGAAGGUGAGGACGACGUCAAGUCAGCACGGCGCCUAUGCCGUGGGCCACACACAUCCUACAAUGGCGAAAAACAACGAGUCGCAAGAGGGUGACCUCAAGCAAAUCUCUGAAAUUUCGUCUCAGUUGGAAUUGGAGUCUGCAACUCGACUCCAUGAACUAGGAAUCGGUAGUAAUCGCGGAUCAGCAGGUCGCGGUGAAUACGUUCUCGGGUCUUGCACACACCGCCCGUCAAGCCAACAAAGUCGAGGGUGGCCGAAGACCCCGCCUAGCGGGGUUGAAGCCAAAUUCGGCGAUGGGGACUAAGUCGUAACAAGGUAUCCCUACUGGAAGGUGGGGAUGGAUCACCUCCUUUCUA